AACGAACGCUGGCGGCAUGCCUAACACAUGCAAGUCGAACGAGACCUUCGGGUCUAGUGGCGCACGGGUGCGUAACGCGUGGGAACCUGCCCUUAGGUUCGGAAUAACUCCCCGAAAGGGGUGCUAAUACCGGAUAAUGUCUUCGGACCAAAGAUUUAUCGCCUUUGGAUGGGCCCGCGUUGGAUUAGCUAGUUGGUAGGGUAAAAGCCUACCAAGGCGACGAUCCAUAGCUGGUCUGAGAGGAUGAUCAGCCACACUGGGACUGAGACACGGCCCAGACUCCUACGGGAGGCAGCAGUGGGGAAUAUUGGACAAUGGGUGGAAGCCUGAUCCAGCAAUGCCGCGUGAGUGAUGAAGGCCUUAGGGUUGUAAAGCUCUUUUACCCGGGAUGAUAAUGACAGUACCGGGAGAAUAAGCUCCGGCUAACUCCGUG
rnacentral:rRNA from 1 species